GUAGGUGGCAAGCGUUGUCCGGAAUUAUUGGGCGUAAGGCGCGCGCAGGCGGAUUGGUCAGUCUGUCUUAAAAGUUCGGGGCUUAACCCCGUGAUGGGAUGGAAACUGCCAAUCUAGAGUAUCGGAGAGGAAAGUGGAAUUCCUAGUGUAGCGGUGAAAUGCGUAGAUAUUAGGAAGAACACCAGUGGCGAAGGCGACUUUCUGGACGAAAACUGACGCUGAGGCGCGAAAGCCAGGGGAGCGAACGGGAUUAGAUACCCCGGUAGUCCUGGCCGUAAACGAUGGGUACUAGGUGUAGGAGGUAUCGACCCCUUCUGUGCCGGAGUUAACGCAAUAAGUACCCCGCCUGGGGAGU
rnacentral:rRNA from 1 species